rnacentral:rRNA from 1 species
CCCUUAGACGUUCUGGGCCGCACGCGCGCUACACUGAGUGGAUCAGCGGGUCAGGUUGCGCGAAAGCGUUUCCUAAUCUUUAAAUCCGCUCGUGAUGGGGAUUGACGGUUGCAAUUUUCUGUCAUGAACGAGGAAUACCUUGUAAGCGCGGGUCAUCAUCCCGCGCUGAAUACGUCCCUGCCCUUUGUACACACCGCCCGUCGCUCCUACCGAUUGAGUGGUCCGGUGAGGCUUUGGGAUCUGAGCGGAAAGAGCGUUUCGCUGUUUCUGCUCGGAAAACUCAGUCGAACCUUAUCAUUUAGAGGAAGGAGAAGUCGUAACA